rnacentral:rRNA from 1 species
UAAUACGGAGGGUGCAAGCGUUACUCGGAAUCACUGGGCGUAAAGGGUGCGUAGGCUGGCUUUUAAGUCAGGUGUGAAAUCCAAUGGCUCAACCAUUGAACUGCACUUGAAACUGAGAGCCUAGAGUUCAGAAGGGGCAGAUGGAAUUAGUGGUGUAGGGGUAAAAUCCGUAGAUAUCACUAGGAAUAUCAAAAGCGAAGGCGAUCUGCUGGGAUGAUACUGACGCUGAGGCACGAAAGCGUGGGGAGCAAACAGGAUUAGAUACCCUGGUAGUCCACGCCCUAAACGAUGAAUGCUAGUCGUCGGGGAGCUCGUCUCUUCGGUGAUGCACUUAACAGAUUAAGCAUUCCGCCUGGGGAGUACGGUCGCAAGAUUAAAACUCAAAGGAAUAGACGGGGACCCGCACAAGUGGUGGAGCAUGUGGUUUAAUUCGAAGAUACACGAAGAACCUUACCUGGCCUUGACAUGGUA